rnacentral:misc_RNA from 1 species
AGCAGCCGCGGUAAUUCCAGCUCCAAUAGCGUAUAUUAAAGUUGUUGCAGUUAAAAAGCUCGUAGUUGAAUUUCGGGAUCAAUAUGUUGGUCGUGCCUUGGUACGUACUGGCAUUAUCGAUUCCUACCUUCUGAAGAACCUCGAUGUCAUUAAUUUGGUGUCUUGGGGAAUCAGGACUGUUACUUUGAAAAAUUAGAGUGUUUAAAGCAGGCUCGCGCUUGAAUACAUUAGCAUGGAAUAAUGAAAUAGGACGUUUGAUUCUAUUUUGUUGGUUUCUAGGAUCGACGUAAUGAUUAAUAGGGAUAGUUGGGGGCAUUAGUAUUCAAUUGUCAGAGGUGAAAUUCUUGGAUUUAUUGAAGACUAACUACUGCGAAAGCAUUUGCCAAGGAUGUUUUCAUUAAUCAAGAACGAAAGUUAGGGGAUCGAAGACGAUCAGAUACCGUCGUAGUCUUAACCAUAAACUAUGCCGACUAGGGAUCGGAUGAUGUUAAUUUUUAAUGUA